UUGACCAUCUCGGGGCUGACCUAGUCAGUUUCAAUAGGAGU
rnacentral:rRNA from 1 species